AGUGAACGCUGGCGGCAGGCCUAACACAUGCAAGUCGAACGGCAGCACAGUAAGAGCUUGCUCUUACGGGUGGCGAGUGGCGGACGGGUGAGGAUUACAUCGCGAUUUACUUUUUCGUGGGGGAUAACGUAGGGAAACUUACGCUAUUACCGCAUACGACCUACGGGUGAAUGCAGGGGAUCUUCAGACCUUGCUCGAUUGAAUGUGCCGAAGUCGGAUUAGCUAGUCGGCGGGGUAAAGGCCCACCAAGGCGACGAUCCGUGGCCGGACUGAGAGGAUGAUCAGCCACACUGGAACUGAGACAAGGUCCAGACUGCUAAGGGAGGCACCAGUGGCGAAUAUUGGACAAUGGGCGGAAGACUGAACCAACAAGACCGGGUAGGUGAAGGCGGCGGUCGGGUUGUAAAGCCCUCUUGUUGGGAAUGAAAAGCAUCAGGCUAAUACUCCGCGGUCCUGACGGUACCCAAAUAAUAAGCACCGGCUAACUUCGUG
rnacentral:rRNA from 1 species